rnacentral:rRNA from 1 species
ACGCUCGACACCUACGAGAGGCAGCAGUGGGGAAUAUUGCACAAUGGGGGAAACCCUGAUGCAGCGACGCCGCGUGAGCGAAGAAGUAUUUCGGUAUGUAAAGCUCUAUCAGCAGGGAAGAAACUGACGGUACCUGACUAAGAAGCACCGGCUAAAUGCGUGCCAACAGCCGCGGUAAUCUGAGCGGGCUGGCAAGGC